rnacentral:lncRNA from 1 species
CUCCUUAAACUUAUUAACUUUUAGCAAGUCCUCCAUAUAACUUUUACAUAUUAGUCUAAUUAUCAAUCUUAUUGAUAACUAGAUUCUAUAACGACUUGAAAUCAUGAUUCAAUAAUUGGAUUAGUCAGGACCUCUUUUGUGUAUAACUCUAUAGAUUUUAUUCUAUCUGAUAGUGAGAUAUAUUUUGAUCUCUAUCAAAAUAUUAUUGAAACUUCUUUCAACGGAUUGAAAUAAUUCUAACUCACC